CCUACGGGGGGCAGCAGUGAGGAAUAUUGGUCAAUGGACGAGAGUCUGAACCAGCCAAGUAGCGUGAAGGAUGCCUGCCCUAUGGGUUGUAAACUUCUUUUAUAAAGGACUAAAACGAGGCACGUGUGCCUUUUUGCAUGUACUUUAUGAAUAAGGAUCGGCUAACUCCGUGCCAGCAGCCGCGGUAAUACGGAGGAUCCGAGCGUUAUCCGGAUUUAUUGGGUUUAAAGGAAGCGUAGAUGGGUUGUUAAGUCAGUUGUGAAAGUUUGCGGCUCAACCGUAAAAUUGCAAUUGAUACUGGCAGUCGUGAGUACAGUUGAGGUAGGCGGAAUUCGUGGUGUAGCGGUGAAAUGCUUAGAUAUCACGAAGAACCCCGAUUGCGAAGGCAGCUUACUAAACUGUGACUGACAUUGAUGCUCGAAAGUGUGGGUAUCAAACAGGAUUAGAUACCCCUGUAGUC
rnacentral:rRNA from 1 species